rnacentral:tRNA from 1 species
GUCAAGGUGGUGGAGUGGUUAACACGUUCGCCUGCUAUCCUCAGCAGUGCAGCGGAUGCCUUCGGGCGCGCAGGUUCGAAUCCUGUCCUUGACG